CCUACGGGAGGCAGCAGUGGGGGAUAUUGCACAAUGGGGGGAACCCUGAUGCAGCGACGCCGCGUGGGUGAAGAAGCGCCUCGGCGCGUAAAGCCCUGUCAGCAGGGAAGAAAAUGACGGUACCUGAAGAAGAAGCCCCGGCUAACUACGUGCCAGCAGCCGCGGUAAUACGUAGGGGGCAAGCGUUAUCCGGAUUUACUGGGUGUAAAGGGGGCGCAGACGGCGAUGCAAGCCAGGAGUGAAAGCCCGGGGCCCAACCCCGGGACUGCUCUUGGAACUGCGUGGCUGGAGUGCAGGAGGGGCAGGCGGAAUUCCUGGUGUAGCGGUGAAAUGCGUAGAUAUCACACAGAACACCGAUUGCGAAGGCAUCUCACGAGUCCGCGAUUGACGCUGAUGCACGAAAGCGUGGGUAUCAAACAGGAUUAGAUACCCUAGUAGUC
rnacentral:rRNA from 1 species